UCAUUAAGUUACUUAAGAGCAAGUAUUGGUCUCUUAAACCAAAUUUUGAUGAUUUAGCAAUCAUUCUUAAUGAA
rnacentral:tRNA from 1 species